AGUGCCACCGAGAGCAGUUCUGCGCUUGCUCCCAGGAGCGCCCCACGCUCAUCCCCACCCAGCCCCACUCAGGGAGCUCGGCGCUGGCGGGCGCUAGCACGGAGGUUCUCGCCCGGCGGGGAAGAGCUGAGUCACCGGGGCUGGUGACCAACUCCCUUCGGAGGAACUCCGUGGCCUGACACGGGACCAGGAAAAGGAGCUGCUUUGGAAACGGAACCCUUUUCAAGGAAAUUGACCAAGUCAUCUGAUUCUGGUUCCAGGUCUCUUCCUAUUACCUUCCAGCUGUUUUCCCCAGGGUACAAGGGUCCCCGGUUUCCUACCUCAGCUCUAUUUGUUCUUCCUUCUCCUCCGAAGACCUCACAUUGCUCCUUGUCCACCAGUAAGUUUUGAUACGCACGGCCCCGUGAGGCUUUGGGGAUUCUUUCUCAGCUCAGUAGCUGUGACUGUUGGUCUUGUUACACUUCCAGAAGAUGCUUGGAUUCAUAAGCUCUUUUUUACAUUUGUGCCAUUUUGGGCAUCAUGCUUUUCCUUUUUUUUCCCCCCUGAUUAUAAUAGUAAUGCAUGUUGACUAUAGAA